GUGAGGAGGGGGAUAGAGUGGCGAAAGGAGGCGAGGAGGAAGACAGGUCGGACCAUGCCGUCGCAGUACCACGAGAACCGUCAACGGAGCUGAAAUGUAGUCUUUCAUCUAAGUCUUGAGGUUUUUGCGUGCGGCACGAGUGUUGAGGUGAUGUGGGCUCCACGGUUGGGAAGGGGUGAUGAUAUUCGGGGUUCGCAUCGAUGGAAUGUGUGACGGCUGUGUUUCACGGCGUGCUGGUAAGAGGGUGAGACUGUUCCUGAGAGUGUCUACAUUUGGCGUAGCGUCGUGUCUACAAUCGGCGUACCACGACGUUUCUCGCUUAUCCGUUCAACACUGCUGCUGCCGUCGCCGUCUCGUUACCCUUGUUGCUGCAGAUAACAGGAAGAACUGGACACCCAUCACCAGACCAACAGUCGGCAGCUCUCCAUUCCCACGCGUGGAUGACGCUGCUUUCUGAACCAAUAUAAUAAGACUUGUGGGCUGGCUGUUGCUGGUUAAUAAGCUGUUUGUUCGUAAGAGUUCGAGAGACUCCGACUUUUUAAUUUUUUUUUUUUCUUUUUUUUAAUAAAUAUUUUCUUGAACUCGAA